UGGAAAGCAGUUUGACAGUUGGCUCAGGGGCUCCGUUAAGUGGCAGGGAGCUCGGAGGCUGGGGGCAGCUUCAGGAGCGGCAGGGAGUUCAGUGGCUGUGGACGGCUGGCAGGCGGCCACUCCAGAAACCCAAAAGGAGUUUGACAGCUGGCUCUGAGGGCUGCAGACGGCUGUCAGUUGGCUGUAUCAUGAAGCGGCAGGGAGUUUGGAGGCUGGCAGACACAGCUGUUGUAUUCAUCACUGCCACCUAAAAGAUCCUGCUGUUACAAGAUUGCAGCAAACCAGCCUGUAAACGGUUCUUUGGGGACAGUCAUCAGAUACAUUGAAUAAGCAGUUUGGGCUACGGGGUGCUAUGAGCUGUGCUGCUGAGUGGCAGCCUGUCCAGUAUCCGUGAUCGCUGAUUCAUGGGAAAUCAAGGAAUGCAGGUCACACCUGCCUGGCAAAGCAGAAGUUGAGAUGAGUGUUCUGCUUAGGUAUGUGCCAAGAAGAGAAGAGGAACAAGCAAAAAUUUCACAAAGAGUUUUAUGCAGGAAGAAGAAUUAGAAGAUGGAUCCCCAUCCCAAAGGGGUUCAUAAUGAAAAAAGAAAUGCAAAGAAAACACCAGCCACAGCCCCUGGAGAGAUGCUAUGUUGGGAUUAAUUGGCACAGUUGCUGUAACAGGAGUCAUCAUACUGAGAUAAUGGGUGCGAAGACCUUUGAACAUGAUUCAGCUACCUACUACAACUACUUAAAUCCUAGGAUCUAACAAUACAAAGACUCACUUCCCAAGGAAAGUAAUUAAAUUUAGAUUAAAAUAAUAUUUUUGAAACAAAAGACAUAUGGUAACCCUCAAGGGAUCUGCUACAGUUAUUGUAUACUCAGUAAUAUACUAUUAUAUAUUACAGAGGGAUCUGCUGUUAUUAUAUAUUAGCAUAGCAAGAGAUCUGAUCUGGUUAUUGUAUACUUUGUAAGGAAGUCAUAAUAUCAGAUUUUGAAAACAA